AGUGAACGCUGGCGGUAGGCCUAACACAUGCAAGUCGAACGGCAGCACAGUAAGAGCUUGCUCUUACGGGUGGCGAGUGGCGGACGGGUGAGGAAUACAUCGGAAUCUACUUUUUCUUGGGGGAUAACGUAGGGAAACUUACGCUAAUACCGCAUACGACCUACGGGUGAAAGCAGUGGUUCUUCGCACCUUGCGCGUCUGAAUGAGCCGAUGUCGGAUUAGCUAGUUGGCGUGGUAAAGGCCCACCAAGGCGACGAUCCGUAGCUGGUCUGAGAGGAUGAUCAGCCACACUGGAACUGAGACACGGUCCAGACUCCUACGGGAGGCAGCAGUGGGGAAUAUUGGGCAAAGGGCGCAAGCCUGAUCCAGCCAUACCGCGUGGGUGAAGAAGGCCUUCGGGUUGUAAAGCCCUUUUGUUGGGAAAGAAAAGCAGCAGGUUAAUACCCCGCUGUUCUGACGGUACCCAAAGAAUAAGCACCGGCUAACUUCGUG
rnacentral:rRNA from 1 species